UCAGGCCCCGCCUCCCCGCUCAGCCCCGCCUCCCCACACCGCGCAAACUUCCAGGAGCUCAACGAGAGAGCUCGUGUGAUGCAUAAAUGUCUCCCGGUGAUAGAGGAGGAUGAGGAGGAAACUCCUGUCACUGAGUCGGCUUCAGAUGAUGAUGAUGAUGAUGAUGAUGAUGAUGGGGGGGGGAUGAACCCUUCUCCUUCUCAGUUUUGU